rnacentral:rRNA from 1 species
AGAGGUGGCGAACGUUGUUCGGAUUUACUGGGCGUAAAGGGUCCGCAGGCGGCUCGGUAUGUCAGAUGUGAAAGCCCACAGCUUAACUGUGGAAUUGCAUUUGAAACUGCCGGGCUAGAGUACUGGAGGGGAGAAGGGAACACUUGGUGUAGCGGUGAAAUGCGUAGAUAUCAAGUGGAACACCGGAGGCGAAGGCGCUUCUCUGGACAGAUACUGACGCUCAUGGACGAAAGCUAGGGGGUUAGCGAAAGGGAUUAGAUACCCCGUGUAGUCCUAGCCGUAAACCGGUGUGCACUAGACGUGGGUGGAUUUACCCCCCGAUCCGUGUCUGAGCUAACGCAUUAAGUGCACCCGCCCUGGGAGUACGGUCGCAAGAUUA